rnacentral:tRNA from 1 species
UUCGAGGCUCAUCGGUAGAGCGCGUCACUAGUAAUGACGAGGUGAUUGGUUCGAUUCCAGUAGCGUAA